CAAGCCCUGUCUUCCGACAAGCUCUAAGCAACUCUCUGGUUUUGUGUUUCUGGUUUGCAUUUCAGAGAUGAAUGACCCCAAAUAUGGCUAUCCCUAUCCUGCUCAAGGCUAUCCCUAUCCUGCUCAGGGUGCUUAUCAAGGACCUCCAGUAAUGGCACCUCCUCAGUAUGUUGCUGCUCCGCCACCUAAGAAAGAAACUGGUUUCCUCGAGGGAUGCCUUGCAGCUUUAUGUUGCUGUUGCCUCUUAGAUGAGUGUUGCUGUGACCCCUCCUUUAUAUUUGUUUCCUAGUUCUAUGGCUAGACUGCACAGAAAAUGACUACUUCUUUGUAUUAUAUUUUAUAUGUAAGAAGCUUCAACAUAUAUAAUACAUGUGUGUGCAAUA